ACUCUGAUGUUCGCAGAAACCCACCCGCUGAUUCAAUACGGGGACCAGGAACCUGCCAUGACAGUCACGGCUUCCCUCUUGUCUGGAGGAAAAAGAAAAAAGAGAACCAGACUUAGACACAACUUCUUGUGGGCACAUAUUCAGAAGGCAUCUCACUGGAGAGGGUUUAGUUCUCCUUAGCAGAAGAUAAGAUUUCAAGAUUUCAGCUAAGACUCAUCUCUCUGCAAAUCUUUCUUUUGAGAGCAUCUUCACCAGGAGGAGAUUCCAUCUCAAGAGACCACUUUCACUGCUCAUAUGUAAGAAGCAACUCUUCAUCUGUUCAAGUUUGAUCAUGAGAGUGCGGCAAUUCAGUCACAACUUCAGGCUCCACUUCUAGUUCUAGUUCUCUUGCUGUUUCCACCACAUCUACAGCGACUUCCUCCACUGAAGACGUGAACCCCUGAAAGUCAUCUAUGGGGGUUGGAAUCAAUGUCUUUCACACUCCUGUUAAUGUUGGUAUUUUGACCUCCUCCCAUGAAUUACAAAUGUUCCUAAUGGCAUCUAGAAUAAUGACUACUUUCCAGAAGCUUUUCAAUUUGCUUUGCUCAGAUCCAUCAAUGGAAUCACUAUCAAUGGUAGCUAUAUAAACUAUAUAAGGCUAUAUAUAUAUAUAUAGCUAUUUCUUAAUAGCCUUAUGAAAUAUAUUUCUUAAUAAGACUUGAAAGUCUUGGUCCAUGGACUGCAGAAUGGAUGUUUGUGUUAGCAGGGAUGAAAACAACAUGAAUAUUCUCGUACAUCUCCAACACAGCUCUUGAUCGACAUGGUGCAGAGCAGUAAUAUUUUGAAAGGAAUCUUUUUUUCUGAGCAAUAGUUCUCAAUAGUGGGCUUGAAAUAUUCAGUAAACCAUGCUGUAAACAGAUGUGUUGUCAUCCAGGCUUUAUUGUUCCAUUUAUGGAGCACAGAUAGAGUAGAUUUCGCAUAAUUCUUAAUGACACCAGGAUUUACAAAAUAGUAAAUGAACAUUUACUUCAACUUAAAGUCAUCAGCUGCAUUCACCUCUAAAAAGAGAGUCAGCCUGUCCUGUGGAGCUUUGCAGCUUGCCUUGACAUCUCCUCUCUAGCUGUGAAAGUCCUGGAUGGCAUCUUCUUCCAACAUAAGACUGUUUUGUCUACACUGAAAAUCUGUUGUUUCGUGUAGACACUUUCAUCAAUUAUCUUAUCUAGAUUUUCUGGAUAACUUGCCACAGCUUCUCCCUUUGCACUUGCUGCUUCAUCUUGCAUUUUUAUGUUAUGGAGAUGUUGUCUUU
rnacentral:lncRNA from 1 species